rnacentral:rRNA from 1 species
UGGGGAAUAUUGCACAAUGGAGGGAACUCUGAUGCAGCGACGCCGCGUGAGUGAUGAAGGACUUCGUUUCGUAAAACUCUGUUCUAUGGGAAGAAAAGGACUGUACCAUAGGAGAAAGCUCCGGCUAAAUACGUGCCAGCAGCCGCGGUAAUACGUAUGGAGCGAGCGUUGUCCGGAAUUAUUGGGCGUAAAGGGUGCGCAGGCGGCUUUACAAGUUGGAUGUGAAAUAUUGUGGCUCAACCACAAACGUGCAUCCAAAACUGCAAAGCUUGAGUUAUGGAGAGGUAAGUGGAAUUCCUGGUGUAGCGGUGGAAUGCGUAGAUAUCAGGAGGAAUACCGGUGGCGAAGGCGACUUACUGGACUUAAACUGACGCUCAGGCACGAAAGCGUGGGGAGCAAACAGG